GCUGGGUGUGGUGGCGCACACCUGUAAUCCCAGCUACUCAGGGGGCUGAGGCAGGAGAAUCACUUGAACCCAGGAGGCAGAGGUUGCAGUGAGCCAAGAUCGCACCACUGUACUCUAGCCUGGGCAACAGAGUGAGACUCAGUCUCAA
rnacentral:SRP_RNA from 1 species